UACGGGGGGUGCAAGCGUUGUUCGGAAUCAUUGGGCGUAAAGCGCGCGCAGGCGGCUUGGUAAGUCAGAUGUGAAAUCCCUGGGCUUAACCCAGGAAGUGCAUUUGAUACUGCCUCGCUAGAGUACGGGAGAGGAAAGUGGAAUUCCUGGUGUAGAGGUGAAAUUCGUAGAUAUCAGGAGGAACACCGGUGGCGAAGGCGACUUUCUGGCCCGAUACUGACGCUCAGGCGCGAAAGCGUGGGGAGCAAAC
rnacentral:rRNA from 2 species